rnacentral:rRNA from 1 species
CGAGUUUGAUCAUGGCUCAGAGUGAACGCUGGCGGCAGGCCUAACACAUGCAAGUCGAGCGGCAGCGCGUCCGACCACCCUCGGGUGGUCGGAUGGCGGCGAGCGGCGGACGGGUGAGGAAUGCAUCGGAAUCUGCCUCGUUGUGGGGGAUAACGUAGGGGAACUUACGCUAAUACCGCAUACCGACCUACGGGUGAAAGUGGGGGACCCUUCGGGCCUCACGCGAUGAGAUGAGCCGAUGCCGGAUUAGCUAGUUGGCGGGGUAAAGGCCCACCAAGGCGACGAUCCGUAGCUGGUCUGAGAGGAUGAUCAGCCACACUGGAACUGAGACAACGGUCCAGACUCCUACGGGAGGCAGCAGUGGGGAAUAUUGGACAAUGGGGGCAACCCUGAUCCAGCCAUGCCGCGUGUGUGAAGAAGGCCUUCGGGUUGUAAAGCACUUUUGUUGGGGGAAGUAAACCGGCCGGGUUAAUACCCUGGUUGAAUGACGGUACCCAAAGAAUAAGCACCGGCUAACUUCGUG